UAUGCUCCAAGUCUGCACGAACUUGGGCAUUUUAACAUUCCGAUCCUUUGCGACCCAGCAAACCUCCAGUGGUUUAUUCUCACCAGAGUCCAACAGGCAAGAGAGAACAUGAAAAGAAAAGAAGAGAGCAGCUGUUGGUGACUGAGAAAAGCAGGAAGCUGAGAGCACCACCGGCAGCUUCAGGAGGCCCUACAGUCCAACCCUGACCCGGGCAGGAGCGACUUCUGGAGAUUCCUGAAAAAACCCCAGGACCAGGGACUGGAGCAGGCCGCCCUCCCCACUCUCUCCCCACCAGGGCACAGGUUCUGUCUUCCGCCCGACAAGGCCUGCAUGUCUCUGCGGAAACAUAAGGAAAAUUAUUUGAAAGUUUACACUAAAUAAAACUGUUAUAUUUUCUCUUUUUAACAUUACAUUCUGAAAUAUUAGAAAUAACAUGCUUUCAAGAUUAAAUUUUGAUCAGGUGAAUGCAAUUUGUAAACCAGGUGAAGAUCAGCUGGAUGGGGCUUCCCUGGUGGCACAGUGGUUGAGAAUCUGCCUGCCAAUGCAGGGGACACGGGUUCGAGCCCUGGUCUGGGAAGAUCCCACAUGCCGCGGAGCAACUAGGCCCGUGAGCCACAAUUACUGAGCCUGCGCAUCUGGAGCCUGUGCUCCGCAACAAGAGAGGCCGCGAUAGUGAGAGGCCCGCGCACCGUGAUGAAGAGUGGUCCCCACUUGCCACAACUAGAGAAAGCCCUCGCACAGAAACGAAGACCCAACACAGCCAUAAAUAAAUAAAUAAAUAAAUAAAUUUA